UGGCAGGUAGUUCAAAUGGUAGAACACCUAAAACAUCCUUUUUCAUACCUUGCCUGCAAAGGCCGACGAAUGAGGGUUAUCGCCUUCCACGCGGGAAGUUGCGGGUUCGAGUCCCGCCCUGCCAC
rnacentral:tRNA from 1 species